rnacentral:rRNA from 1 species
GCCGCGUGUGUGNAGAAGGCCUUCGGGUUGUAAAGCACUUUCAGUCAGGAGGAAAGGUUAGUAGUUAAUACCUGCUAGCUGUGACGUUACUGACAGAAGAAGCACCGGCUAACUCCGUGCCAGCAGCCGCGGUAAUACGGAGGGUGCGAGCGUUAAUCGGAAUUACUGGGCGUAAAGCGUACGCAGGCGGUUUGUUAAGCGAGAUGUGAAAGCCCCGGGCUCAACCUGGGAACUGCAUUUCGAACUGGCAAACUAGAGUGUGAUAGAGGGUGGUAGAAUUUCAGGUGUAGCGGUGAAAUGCGUAGAGAUCUGAAGGAAUACCGAUGGCGAAGGCAGCCACCUGGGUCAACACUGACGCUCAUGUACGAAAGCGUGGGGAGCAAACGGGAUUAGAUACCCCGGUAGUCCACGCCGUAAACGAUGUCUACUAGAAGCUCGGGUCCUCGGACUUGUUUUUCAAAGCUAACGCAUUAAGUAGACCGCCUGGGGAGUACGGCCGCAAGGUUAAAACUCAAAUGAAUUGACGGGGGCCCGCACAAGCGGUGGAGCAUGUGGUUUAAUUCGAUGCAACGCGAAGAACCUUACCUACACUUGACAUACAGAGAACUUACCAGAGAUGGUUUGGUGCCUUCGGGAACUCUGAUACAGGUGCUGCAUGGCUGUCGUCAGCUCGUGUUGUGAGAUGUUGGGUUAAGUCCCGCAACGAGCGCAACCCCUAUCCU